rnacentral:rRNA from 1 species
GACAGAGGUGCCAAGCGUUAGGCGGAAUCACUGGGCUUAAAGCGUGUGUAGGCGGACUUGUAAGUACCUUGUGAAAUCCCACGGCUCACCCGUGGAACUGCUGGGUAUACUGCGAGUCUUGAGCCACUUAGGGGCUGUCGGAACAGGCGGUGGAGCGGUGAGAUGCGUAGAUAUCGCCUGGAACGCCAAAGGUGAAAACAGACAGCUGGGAGUGUGCUGACGCUGAGACACGAAAGCCAGGGGAGCGAACGGG